UUUGAUUUAACUACAGCUUUUGACUGUCAGAAGUAGGAAGCUUUGGCUGUAACAAAUAGCAAAGAGUCAUGUGCUAUUUAUGCAGUUGUGAAAGCCCCAUAGUUGGUGCAAGAUUGCAAUCUUCAGAGGGACCUACUCUGUUUACGCUAUUUUACAGGGAAAUGUAAUUAUGUUUAGAUAUGAUCCAUAUAGCCUGUAUUCAAACAAACUCAGCAUAAAGUGUUUUAACAUCUGUCAUUAUGACAUGGUCGUUGCCUACUAGAAUGCAAGUUUGAACGAGCCUUUUUGAAGUGCAAAUGCAUUUCAGCUAUGCUGGAGUGGCAAGGACAUAUCCCAACAUGCACCAGCUGCAGCACAGCCUGCCCAAUAGGCUACAUUUACAGAGACCUAAUUUCUUGCUUCAGGUAGAAGUAUCUGAGUAUUUAUUCCUGUCAACAGUGUUGGUGAGUAACUGAUUACACGAUUGCAAACAACCUGAAACUGUAAUCACUUACUAUACCUGCACAAAUAUUGUAAUCAGGUGACUGAUACUUUAGAAAAAUAGAUUACUUUUUGGAUUAUUUUAAAGGCCCAGUGCAGUCAAACUUGAUUUCAUGUGUGCUAUAUUUAUUUCCACACUAUGAGGUUGGAAUAAUACUGUGAAAUUGUGAAAAUGAUGAUGAUACCCAUUUGGUGUAAGAGCUGUUUGAAAGGACCACCUGCAAUGUCAGCCUGUUGUUGUGGAAUGGAGUGUUGGCCUGCCUGGUGACAUCACCAGGCAAUUAGAAAGAGAGCUCCAAACCUCUCUGCCAAUAACAGCUAGUUUUCCCCACUCAGACCACUCCCAGACAGUCCUAGCAAACUUUUAUCUUGAGAAAUUGCUCUUUGCUAAGAAGCUAUUUUAUAUUUUUUAAUCGACGAUUUUAAUUGAAAAGAAUCACAGUAAGGUACUUAACAAUUACAUUUUUCCAAUAAAUUAUUAGAUCAUGAGAUUAAAACAGCUCAUUGGACCUUUUUUUUAAAAUUCAGCUACAGUCAUAGGGUGGAUAGCUGUAGGUUGGUACACUCUUUUGGGUGGGGAGAGAUGGUCGAAAGCUAUUAUAGGAGAUAAUCAUAAAUGACUGACCAUUCAGCACCGUCUACGAGUGCGUCAAGAGGGUAUUUUUGUGGAGUAGCGCUUGGAUUCAGUGGUGACUGGCUACAAUACACUGCAGUGACCUUUACGACCAAGACAACUGGAACCAGGAGAAAGAAAUGAAAGAACAGGGGGAGCAUCCAAUCGGUCAACCAGUUGCAACCUGACAGAAACAAGCAAUCUUUUUUUACAGACAUAGAUUACAGUUUGUUUUCUAUAGUUUAAAGGGGUGUAAAUCCCAGAGUUACUAGCCAAUCCUGCUUGUGCUUUCUUGUUUCUUUGAUGAUUUCUGAAAUGAAGUGUGAAUGCAUGUGCAGUAUGUUUAAUUAGUCCAUUUCAAAGAGUUGAACUUUGACAAUUGUAUAAAUCAACUGUAAUUUUUUUUAAAGCUCCAUUUUUUUUUUUAAAUAACAUGAUGAAUCAGACAAUGUUUAAUGAUAAAGUGAUUUGAUGAUCCUACACAGUCCUACUGGUACAUGCUGGUGCGUUACAGCUAUAAUCAUGCUGCUGGAACUGAAGAAAUACUGUUGACUGUAAUUAACCUAUAUUUAAAUACAAUGUUUAAGGUAUGCUAUCUUA